rnacentral:lncRNA from 1 species
UAUAUGUUUUGAACACAUGGUUUCGUUGAGAAUGAAGAAAAAUCCUGUAUGUAUAAAUGGGCUAAUAGUUCUAUAAAAGUAUUUUGUGUUGUUUGGAUGAAAUUUUCUUAAUUAAAAAUGACAUCCAUACAUUAUAGGAAAUAAAAGCUUGAUUGUCAUCUUUAUUCUCCAUAAAGAUUUGGAAGGUUAUGAGAACCAUCCUUAAGUAUUUAUGAAAUACUAAGGGCCAAUGGCUUGUUUAUGGAGAAUCUGUCUUAAAAUCUAUGGAAUAUUGAUUUCAGUUUCUAA